rnacentral:lncRNA from 1 species
UUUACGCAUCAAUUGUCCAAGCACUUCAUGAGAAGCUUCAAUCUUUAUAAUCCAACUCACUGUAUAAUCUUUAGAAGCUUCAAUCUCAUCAACAACUAAACAUACAAAUUCUGUAGCACAAUAUACAUAUAUACACACAAAAAAAAGAGAAGGAAUGUACCGUUUCCUGUGUCGUUUCGUCUUGAAAUGUUCAUCCCUCACCGCCACACUCGCAAAGUAUCGACUGGAGAAAUCAACGAAAAGAAACAAAUUCAAACAAAACCCCAAAUCACAAUAAUUAUGCAUAAAACAUACAAAUACAUUUAGAUGUACAUCAAGAGAAUAAGAUAAUUUACUCGCAGUGUACGCAGUAAUACUGUCCCAUCCCCGGAAGAUCUUCAUCUACAGGCAAGGGCUUCUUCUCGUCAUCUAGCUUCUGAAGCUCCUCAUAAACAGCAUCGUCACGUGGACCACAGUCAAGAAAAAUUACCACAAAGCACGAUUUUUUGAACAGAUUUAACAAAAAUUGAGAAAAAGUUUACCAGAAACAGCGAGAAAGUGAGAGAAAAUACGAGAAAAACUAUGCGAAGGAAAUCUCUGAGGAGAUUAAACAAACAAUAUCUGUCAAUCCGUUUCCAGAGAAAGCGCAAUCUCUUAUCUCCCUCUUUCUCUCUCCUAACUUAAAACAAUCGAUUCUAUUCUUUUCUCUCUUGGUAAUCAAACAAAUUUGAGAAAUUUUUGAAGAGAGAGAGCGAGAAAGUGAAAGAAAAUACGAGAAAACAGUGAAAGGAUAUCUUUGAUUAAUAAUUUGGAUCGUCGAUAGGUUUUGUGAGAGUAUCUUCUCUUCUUCACCUUCCUAUGCGGGCACUUUCCUCCCAUUUUUCUUCGGUUCGAUCGAUUUGAGAGCUUUGAGCUUGUUACUGCGACUGCAAUGGAUUACGGUUUUAUCGUUUUGUACUAUUAAAGCCCUAGGUUUGUAGAAGACGGUAUUGAGCCCAGGUUUCAAUUCGUAUUUUGGUGGGCUGGAGCCCAAUCGGUAUAAUACUUCAGAAAAAGCCCAAUCCAUU